ensembl:snRNA U1 U1 spliceosomal RNA
AUACCUACCUGGCAGGGAGAUAUCAGAAUCACAAAGGUGGUUUUCUCAGGGAGAGGCUCAACCAUUGCACUCUGGGUGUGUUGAUCCCUGCAGUUUCCCCAAAUGUGGGAAAAUCAACUGAAUAAUUUGUGGUAGUUGGGGAUUGUAUUUGCACUUUCUCUGA